UACGUAGGGUCCGAGCGUUGUCCGGAAUUACUGGGCGUAAAGAGCUCGUAGGUGGUUUGUCGCGUUGUUCGUGAAAUCUCACGGCUUAACUGUGAGCGUGCGGGCGAUACGGGCAGACUAGAGUACUGCAGGGGAGACUGGAAUUCCUGGUGUAGCGGUGGAAUGCGCAGAUAUCAGGAGGAACACCGGUGAUGUAGACGGCUUUCUGGACCGUAACUGACGCUGAAACACGAAAGCGUGGGGAGCGAACAGG
rnacentral:rRNA from 1 species